rnacentral:rRNA from 1 species
UACGUAGGCAGCAAGCGUUGUUCGGAGUUACUGGGCGUAAAGGGUGUGUAGGCGGUUGUUUAAGCUUGGUGUGAAAUCUCCCGGCUCAACUGGGAGGGUGCGCCGAAUACUGAAUGACUAGAGUGUGGGAGAGGUGAGUGGAAUUCCUGGUGUAGCGGUUGAAAUGCGUAGAUAUCAGGAGGAACACCGGUGGUGUAGACGGCUCACUGGACCAUAACUGACGCUGAGACACGAAAGCGUGGGUAGCAAACAGGA